rnacentral:rRNA from 1 species
CAAUAGCGUAUAUUAAAGCUGUUGCGGUUAAAAAGCUCGUAGUUGGAUUUCUGUCAAGGACAACUGGUCCGCCCUCCGGGUGAGCACAUAGUUUGGUCUUGACAUCUUGCUGGAAGCUGUUGCUGCACUUGGCUGUGUGGCGCAGUGUUCAGCACUUUCACUUUGAGGAAAUUGGAGUGUUUCAAGCAGGCACAUGCCUUUGGACACAGUAGCAUGGAAUAAUUAGAUUGGGCUUUUGCUCCAAUUUGUCGGUUUCUGGAGCUGAGGUGAGUAUUAAUGGGGAUUGUUGGGGGUAUCCGAAUUUAGCCGUCAGAGGUGAAAUUCUUGGAUCUGCUAAAGACGGACAACUGCGAAAGCGUUUGCCCAGGAUGUUUUCAUUGA